rnacentral:lncRNA from 10 species
CCCAGUCCAGUUCAGCCACAGCCCAGCCAUAGCCCAGUCCAGCCCAAUUAUAGCCCAGCCCAGCUCAGCCAUAGCCCAGCCAUAGCCCAGCCAUACCCCAGCUUGGCCCCCGCCCCUGCUGUUUCCCCUGCUCCUGUCCCACACUGUCCCGGGAUUUUCCCCCUGGCCUUGGACAUCAGCCUCACGUUGGGUGGGGGACGCUUAUGGAAGACCCCAACUCUCGCUGUGCCCAGGACCACUAUGGGGUGGGCGCUGGAGUGCUGGGUUUCCCCACUGUCCCCGCUGUUUGCAGGUGGAACAUGCAGGGUUAAUGCGGUCCCAGCUCGGCUGGAGGAAAUGAGGACAGGGGAUUCUGAUGACAGGCUGCUGUCACGGGGAGCUGGCUCUGCUCGGGAAACAGCACUGCUUGCCAAGUGUGGAGGCCUCACAGCAGCCGUCGUGGGGCUCGGAGUCCCAGCACCUCAGAUGACAGAAAAAUAAAAAGCAGAAAAUGUCACCAGUAAAAGAUCAUUUGCCAUUAACAUGCUUCCAGCUCUUUCCUAUUGUCAAAAUGAGCCUGCCGGUGCGUGUGGGUCAGCGCCCUUUCCUCACACCUUGUUAGAUUGUGGGCGUUUCUGAUGGGAUCAG